CCCCGAUAGGUGCUGUCUCUUGGAAUCGAGUGUAGCAGUCUGCUGUAGUCUCUCCCCCAGACACGGCGCACAUAUACAUUGGUCUCUCUACCGGCCGGAUUCCAGCACCGACACCGGGAGGGAACUGGAAAGAGGAGACUUAAUAACGGACUCAGGAUUUCAGAAAGGCCAAACAUGGACAGGCUGACCUGGUUUAUGAUUCUGUAUUUAAUCCCAGCACUUUUUGUUCUCAUAUGUGAUGGAAGCUCGGUAAUCCUGGAAGAACAAGAUGACGAAAGUGAGAUGGACCAAGGUGGAAGUUCUGGUGAAGGUGUCGGUGAACAGAUGGGAAACAGGGCUGAAGAAUCUAUAAGCGGAAAUGGUAUUGACUCCAAAAUGAAGAUCAGCACCGUGCAAGUGAUAACGACUGUGAGUUCUGUGAUCCUGGGAAUGGGCACCCUUAAAUUAGUUGUUCUAGGUCUCUGAUCCACCACAAGGACACAAAGUUGUACAACAUUACAGAAUCCAGGAGAUCGGAUAACACAUCUCUUGAUGCUACUUUGGUUUAAAAUUGGGCAUUCUUUAGCUUCUCCCAUCUACUGUCCAACUUACUUACAAAUAAAAGGUUUGCUUAGAAGCUGGGCAGGGGCAAAUGUAGCAGUCCCCUAUGGUAAAGUGGUAGAACCUGCCCAACUACAUUCAAUUCGUCGCUUUAUUAAUCUGUAAAAAUAAUUAUAGUUUAUAGGCUAUUUGUGCCAAAAUGGAAUUCCGUUGAAUAUUCCAUAACAAUAUUAUUGCGCUAUAUACAUACAGCAUUGGGUAAAUAUCCAUAGAUUGAAUACAAGCAAAUAUAUUUCAUUUGAUUAUGGACAAUAGGUGGGACCUCCGAUUUUUGGAGGCCUAAGCUUGCUGGGACUAUGCUGGUAAAUCAGGAGCAUUAGCUACUGGUUAAAUAGUUACUACUCGAGGUUGGAAAAGGCAGCCUCUCCCUCAUUCUCCUUGACUUCUGGUUGAUCCAGAGGAAGGUGAAAACCCCCUAUGAACUGUCCCCAAUUUAAUUCUAUUCCUUUCCAUGAAUGUAACAGAUUGGGUUAUUACGCCGUUCUGCUGUUUCUCAUAAUUCUAUUGAAUCUGAUAACCAAUUUAUUAUAUAUCCAUGCAUUUCUAAAUGGAUGUAAAUUUAAUAAAAGAAAUUGAAACCUGUA